UACGUAGGGUGCAAGCGUUGUCCGGAAUUAUUGGGCGUAAAGAGCUCGUAGGCGGCUGGUUGCGUCGACUGUGAAAACCCGCGGCUCAACCGUGUGGUCUGCAGUCGAUACGGGCUGGCUGGAGUUCGGUAGGGGCAGAUGGAAUUCCCGGUGUAGCGGUGGAAUGCGUAGAGAUCGGGAAGAAUACCAGUGGCGAAGGCGUUCUGCUGGGCCGUUGCUGACACUGAGGCGCGACAGCGUGGGGAGCAAACAGG
rnacentral:rRNA from 1 species